CGAAUUCGCCUGUCGAGAGUGUCGAGACGCCUUGUUUCCAAAGCGGCGAACGAUAUAUCAGCCUGGACAUCUGUGAACCGCGACGGUAAUUUUCCUCGUUAAUUCGACACUGUUUGAACAUCGAUCCUCUCGUCGAUCGUAAAAGACGAACGUUAAGCUAAGUGGAUUGUCAGGAUUUGGAACUAGAGAAAUUCAUAGUAUCGUAAUUUAAGUCUCGCGUCCCUUUACUGGUGCAUUUGGUGAUGGGAUUAGGUGGAAAAAAACGUGGGGCCAUAAGUGGCGUUCGAUUGGCAUCGGGCAGUCAGUUCAGCGGCGCGAGAGAGACGAUAAAUCUGUGGGACAAGGAUCGAUAGGCGUGCGAUUUCGACGCUUCGAAGAAUCGUUCGAGCGUUCGCGUCCCGCUGCUCGCGACACAUCGAUUAAACGUGAUUUCGUCGCUCGUGAACAAUCGUUCGACCGUUAUCGUUACCUGCGACGGAUCGAUUAAACGCGAUUUCGAUACUUACGAGAGUCGUUGGAGCGUAACGAUGACGACGAGAAGGAGAAGGUACACGGUCGUCGCGACGCUUCUCCUCUCUCGAAAGCUCGUCUCGAAAGUUCCGUGAACUGCGUUACGCGAACGGUACUUGGCUAACUGUUCUCCGGACGCGGUUUUCGAAUCCACUUCCGGCAGGACAGUUGGCGUCAAAUUGCAGCGACAAAUGUCCGCGCGGAAUGGACAUUAACCCGAAAAGCGGCUCUCCGCUUGCUCUGCUUUGAUGUUCGCGCGGAUAAUUGUAGUUACCGCCUCGUCAAAAGACUCAUUACGUGUCACGGCACUUAUUACACCGUAAUUAUAAUACGACCCUGCUCUCU
rnacentral:misc_RNA from 1 species